rnacentral:rRNA from 1 species
AGAGCGAACGCUGGCGGCAGGCCUAACACAUGCAAGUCGAACGGACCCUUCGGGGUUAGUGGCGGACGGGUGAGUAACACGUGGGAACGUGCCUUUUGGUUCGGAAUAGCUCCUGGAAACGGGUGGUAAUGCCGAAUGUGCCCUUCGGGGGAAAGAUUUAUCGCCAUUAGAGCGGCCCGCGUCUGAUUAGCUAGUUGGUGAGGUAAUGGCUCACCAAGGCGACGAUCAGUAGCUGGUCUGAGAGGAUGACCAGCCACAUUGGGACUGAGACACGGCCCAAACUCCUACGGGAGGCAGCAGUGGGGAAUCUUGCGCAAUGGGCGAAAGCCUGACGCAGCCAUGCCGCGUGAAUGAUGAAGGUCUAGGAUUGUAAAAUUCUUUCACCGGGACGAUAAUGACGGUACCCGGAGAAGAAGCCCCGGCUAACUUCGUGCCAGCAGCCGC